rnacentral:rRNA from 1 species
GUGUCAGCCGCCGCGGUAAUACGUAGGGGGCAAGCGUUGUCCGGAAUCAUUGGGCGUAAAGAGCGUGUAGGCGGCCCGGUAAGUCCGCUGUGAAAGUCCAGGGCUCAACCCUGGGAUGCCGGUGGAUACUGUCGGGCUCGAGUCCGGAAGAGGAGUGUGGAAUUCCUGGUGUAGCGGUGAAAUGCGCAGAUAUCAGGAGGAACACCAAUGGCGAAGGCAGCACUCUGGGACGUGACUGACGCUGAGACGCGAAAGCGUGGGGAGCAAACAGGAUUAGAAACCCCCGUAGUCC